UCUGGUUGAUCCUGCCAGUAGUGAUAUGCUUGUUUCAAAGAUUAAGCCAUGCAUGUCUAAGUAUAAGCGAACUUAAACAGUGAAACUGCGGAUGGCUCAUUAAAACAGUUUGAAUUUAUUUGAUGAAUGUAUGAGAAUACUACUUGGAUAACCGUAGUAAUUCUAGAGCUAAUACAUGCAACGACGCCCGACCGUUUCACUACGGAAGGGCUGUAUUUAUUGGAUACCAAAACCAUCCUUCCCUCGGGAAGUUUUGUUUGAUGAUUCACAAUAACUGAUCGGAUCGCCACUGUGGUGGCGACAGGUCAUUCAACAUUCUGCCCUAUCAGCUUACGAUGGUUGUGUAGUGGACAACCAUGGCCAUAACGGGUAACGGAGAAUCAGGGUUCGAUUCCGGAGAAGGAGCUUGAGAAUUGGCUACUACAUCUAAGGAAGGCAGCAGGCGCGCAAAUUACCCAAUCCCGAUUCGGGGAGGUAGUGACAAAAAAUAACAAUACCGGGCCUUUUUGGGCUUGGUAAUUGGAAUGAGGGAGAGUUAAACGGACCAUCGAUUAUCCAUUGGACGGCAAGUCUGGUGCCAGCAGCUGCGGUAAUACCAGCUCCAAUAGCGUAUAUUAAAGUUGUUGCAGUUAAAAAGCUCGUAGUUGGACUUGUGUGCGCUGUCCGCGGGUGGCCUGCGCCCAAAAGGGCGUUUCGGUUCGGCCCCGGUGGCGCCUUGAAAUCUGCAGCUGGGGGGACGUUGGCCUUAACUGGUCGGCGACCGCACGCCGGCUGCUCGGUUACUGUGAGAAAAUUAGAGUGUUCAAGGCAGGCAUUGGGUGCAAUUGAAUACAUUAGCAUGGAAUAAUAAAAUAUGGCUCCUGCCGUAUUUUGUUGGUUUUGACUGGUGGGAGUAAUGAUUGAUAGGGACGGUUGGGGGUGCUAGUAUUGAGCGGCCAGAGGUGAAAUUCAUGGAUUCGCUCAAGACUAACUUAUGCGAAAGCAUUCACCAAGGACGUCCUCUUUAAUCAAGAACGAAAGUUGGGGGAUCGAAGACGAUCAGAUACCGUCGUAGCCUCAACCAUAAACUAUGUCGACUUGGGAUCGGCGGUAGUUUUUUCAUUAAGACACUGUCGGGACCACGGGAGAAAUCAAAGUGUCUGGACUCUGGGGGAAGUAUGGUCGCAAGGCUGAAACUUGAAGGAAUUGACGGAAGGGCACCACCAGGAGUGGAGCCUGCGGCUUAAUUUGACCCAACACGGGGAAACUUACCAGGUCCAGAGAUGUAGAGGAUUGACAGAUUGAAGCUCUUUCUUGAUCACUUCGGUGGUGGUGCAUGGCCGUUCUUAGUUGGUGGA
rnacentral:rRNA from 1 species